GCUACAUGCAGUCGAGGGGCAGCACAAGUGUAGCAAUACUCUGGUGGCGACCGGCGCACGGGCGAUUAUCGCGUAUGCAACCUACCUUCCACAGGGGGAUAGCCUUCCUUAAGGGAGAUUAAUACCGCAUGAAACAGGGGCCCCGCAUGGGGAUAUUUGUUAAAGAUUUAUCGGUGGAAGAUGGGCAUGCGUUCCAUUAGCUAGUUGGGGGGGUAACGGCCCACCAAGGCAACGAUGGAUAGGGGAACUGAGAGGUUUAUCCCCCACACUGGGACUGAGACACGGCCCAGACUCCUACGGGAGGCAGCAGUGAGGAAUAUUGGUCAAUGGGCGGGAGCCUGAACCAGCCAAGUCGCGUGGAGGGCGACGGUUCUAUGGAUUGUAAACUCCUUUUGCACUGGGGUAAAACGCGGGACGUGUCCCGCCUUGCAAGUACAGUGCGAAUAAGCAUCGGCUAACUCCGUGCCAGCAGCCGCGGUAAUACGGAGGAUGCGAGCGUUAUCCGGAUUUAUUGGGUUUAAAGGGUGCGUAGGCGGCAAUCACUAGU
rnacentral:rRNA from 1 species